UACGGGGGGGGCAAGCGUUGUUCGGAAUUACUGGGCGUAAAGGGCGCGUAGGCGGUUUGCUAAGUCGAAUGUGAAAACUCUGGGCUUAACCCAGAGCCUGCAUUCGAUACUGGCAGGCUAGAGUUCUGGAGGGGAUAGCGGAAUUCCUGGUGUAGCGGUGAAAUGCGUAGAUAUCAGGAGGAACACCGGUGGCGAAGGCGGCUAUCUGGACCGAUACUGACGCUGAGACGCGAAAGCGUGGGGAGCAAACAGG
rnacentral:rRNA from 1 species